UACACAUGGAUGUCCAACACUGAUAACAAGACACUUGACCACUAACGAAACAUCCAUUAGGUAUAGAAGAAAUAUUUGACAAACGAAUAUCAAGUGUCGUUACCGACUGGUCACAUCGGAGCAUGGAAAAUUGUAUUGACAUUAAAAAAGCAGAAGAUAACAACAACAAAUUGCACACCUGUACACAAAAGUGGUUAGAAUGAGCAUAAAUAAACAAACGAAACAGUGUGCAAAGACAUAAUGAAAACGUUUCUACUGCCAGAACGGAGAACGCUCAUAAAAUAUUUGUUUGCGGACAGCUGUUCUGGUUGACCAAAUGGCACUAAACGAGACAAACAAUUGGCAGUUGACAAUUGUCAAUUGAACAUUACUCAUUUUGGUGAGAAAUGAAAUGCAAAUAAAUUUCGAAAUGUUGCCACAGAAGGUAGUUGGUUAGAAAGCGGGCGAGCGGGUCACUUGAAGGCACCGACUACCUGAGCUAUCGACGUACUGCUCCUCGUACUUUGUCAUAAAUUUUUACACCCAAUUGUGUAUAUGUGUGUGUGCUGCGGCAUUGAGACACCUGCCAACUGUUGUCAUACUAACCGUGAUUGCUGUGUUUGGCCAACUGGCGGUCUCUUAUUGACACAAGCGCAGCGCUGUUUGCUUAGAUUUUUAUCGCGCUUUUCUUUGAAUGGCAGUUUUUAAUAAGCGCUUUGCUGGUGGUGGAAGAAAAUUGCUAUUUGCGGUUAAAUUAAAUGGAAAUUUGAGCUACGUUGACAUUUGUCAUGUGCAAAAAGUUUUUAAUGACAGCUGAAUCGAUAUUUUAGAUAUGAAAAUGUGGAAAUUGUCGGAGUUGAAGCAUUUCCUCAUCACAACUUCACCGUUAACUGAACAAAUGCUACUUCCAACACAAAAACAAUGACAACUUCAACCAUGAGGUACCAGCAAGUGAGAGGCAGUCGGGGGGACAAAUGCUUGGAGUCAACGAGCAGCACUCAUCAAAUGUCACAAUCCUUGGUAUUUACACUGUGCAACAUUGAAAGCUCACCAGCAACGGUCAACAUACAUUAGAGUAGUAGUAGUUGUAAUCAUCAAAUACAAAUACAAUUGGUCAACCAUGUGAAAAGCUGUGCAAACAGUUAGAGAACAGAGUGAAGCACGAAAUAAAACCACCGCAAAAAUGAUGAAAAAGAACCGUAAAAUAGUUGAAAAACGCAUUUCUCAAAGUAAACAAAUUUAAAGCGGAGCAUAAGUGUGGCAGCACAUAAAAGUGAAAGAGAUUAAA